GCAGUAGCCGCGGGAAUACAGAGGGUGCGAGCGUUAAUCGGAUUUACUGGGCGUAAAGCGUGCGUAGGCGGCUUCUUAAGUCGGAUGUGAAAUCCCUGAGCUUAACUUAGGAAUUGCAUUCGAUACUGGGAAGCUAGAGUAUGGGAGAGGAUGGUAGAAUUCCAGGUGUAGCGGUGAAAUGCGUAGAGAUCUGGAGGAAUACCGAUGGCGAAGGCAGCCAUCUGGCCUAAUACUGACGCUGAGGUACGAAAGCAUGGGGAGCAAACAGGAUUAGAUACCCCAGUAGUCCCUGUCUCUUAUAC
rnacentral:rRNA from 1 species